UACGUAGGGGGCAAGCGUUGUCCGGAAUCAUUGGGCGUAAAGCGCGUGUAGGCGGCUCGAUAAGUCUGCUGUGAAAGUCCAGGGCUCAACCCUGGGAUGCCGGUGGAUACUGUCGAGCUCGAGUCCGGAAGAGGCGAGUGGAAUUCCUGGUGUAGCGGUGAAAUGCGUUGAUAUCCACAGGAACUCCGGUGGCGAAGGCGGCUCGCUGGACCCGACCUGACGCUGAGGCGCGAAAGCGUGGGGAGCGAACAGG
rnacentral:rRNA from 1 species